rnacentral:sRNA from 1 species
GGCUAUGAAGCUUAUGGCCGUGUCGGUAAGCGGUUGUAAGUGGAGUCGAAUCAUGGGUUAAGUGAUUACCACAAACUGAAUAGAUCAUUUUGAUCAAACGAAAACACU